UCCACCACGGCGGUCUUGCCCACGCCGGGCUCGCCGAUCAGGACGGGGUUGUUCUUGGUGCGCCGCGACAGGAUCCGCACCACGCGCCGGAUCUCCUCGUCGCGGCCGAUGACCGGGUCCAGCUUGCCCGCCACCUCCACGAGGUCGCGGCCGUACGUCUUGAGGGCCUGGAAGUUGGUGUCCCCCGACGCGGACUCCACGCGCCGGUUGUCGCCUCCCCGGAGCUUCUCGACCUCUGCCUUCACCCGCGCGGCGGAGAUGCCGGCCUCCUUGAGCGCGUCGGAGAUCUGUGGGUCCUCGAGGAGGCCCAUGAGCAGCUGGUCGACGGCGAGGUGCGAGUCGCCGCGCGACUUCUGCGCCGACUGCGCGCGGCGGACGGCCUUGACCAGCGAAGUGGAGGCCGGGACGGUGUCGGGCGG
rnacentral:lncRNA from 1 species